rnacentral:rRNA from 1 species
UACGUAGGCAGCGAGCGUUGUUCGGAAUUACUGGGCGUAAAGAGUGUGUAGGCGGUGUUCCCAGUCUGUUGUGAAAUCUCCCGGCUUAACUGGGAGGGUGCAGCGGAAACUAGAAUGCUAGAGGGUGGGAGAGGUAAGCGGAAUUCCUGGUGUAGCGGUGAAAUGCGCAGAUAUCGGGAGGAACACCGGUGGCGAAGGCGGUUCUCUGGGCCUGACCUGACGCUGAGGAGCGAAAGCGUGGGGAGCGAACAGG